rnacentral:rRNA from 1 species
UACGGAGGGUGCGAGCGUUGUCCGGAAUCAUUGGGCGUAAAGGGCGCGUAGGCGGCCGUUUGCGUCGGAUGUGAAAGCCCGGGGCUCAACCUCGGAACGGCAUUCGAUACGGGACGGCUGGAGACCGGGAGAGGAGAGUGGAAUAGCCAGUGUAGAGGUGAAAUUCGUAGAUAUUCGCAAGAACACCAGUGGCGAAGGCGGCUCACUGGCCCGGUACUGACGCUGAGGUGCGAAAGCGUGGGGAGCAAACAGG